GAGCCUUCCCAGUUUUUUAACUCCUCUGUUGGCUGUAUGGCCUAAUUGGCACUUAAUCAUUAGUUUUCCAGCAUAACUGAUAAGUUAGAAUUUUAAGGUUAAAUGUGAUAAAUCGGUACAGAAUGAUGUUUGUUCCGUUGAUGUCCAUCAGGUUGCUGCAAAACAUUGAAACAAGGCCUGAUCCUCUUCUGCCACUAACAAACGGACCAGUCAACACAUCAUGGGAUCGAUGGUUUGAAGGGCCCCAGGAGUCAAAAGGUUGCAGAUGCAGAAUACUUUGAUUUGUCGAGUUCUAACAUUUACUGCAAUUUGUUGCAAGAGGGUUGUGAAUCUUCUGUACACAAGAUGUUGACUUACAGCGAGAUUGUUAUCUGAGAUUCGUUAACGAAUGUUUUCCACUGCGUGCAAUACGAGAGUCCUUAGAUGAUUCAAUUCUUUUACAUAUCCAAUCAGCUCGCAUUCAUGUAUGUAAGUCUGUAAAUCGAAUAUAUCUAUUGCAGAGAUUUGAUGCAUGUUAACCGGAAAUCUUAUCUGAUAUUGAGUUGAGUUUUUAUGUUUUCUA